CAGCAGCCGCGGUAAUACGGGGGAUCCAAGCGUUAUCCGGAAUCAUUGGGUUUAAAGGGUCCGUAGGCGGUUUAGUAAGUCAGUGGUGAAAGCCCAUCGCUCAACGGUGGAACGGCCAUUGAUACUGCUAAACUUGAAUUAUUAGGAAGUAACUAGAAUAUGUAGUGUAGCGGUGAAAUGCUUAGAGAUUACAUGGAAUACCAAUUGCGAAGGCAGGUUACUACUAAUGGAUUGACGCUGAUGGACGAAAGCGUGGGUAGCGAACAGGAUUAGAUACCCUGGUAGUCCACGCCGUAAACGAUGGGCACUAGGUGUCGCGGGUAUUGGCCCCUGCGGUGCCGAAGCUAACGCAUUAAGUGCCCCGCCUGGGGAGUACGGCCGCAAGGCUAAAACUCAAAGGAAUUGACGG
rnacentral:rRNA from 1 species